rnacentral:rRNA from 1 species
UGAGGAAUAUUGGGCAAUGCCCGCAAGGGUGACCCAGCAACGCCGCGUGGAGGAUGAAUGUCGUAAGAUUGUAAACUCCUGUUAGAGGGGAAGAAUAGUACCGGUUGGACCGAUAUAUGACUGUACCCUCAGAGAAAGCCCCGGCUAACUACGUGCCAGCAGCCGCGGUAAUACGUAGGGGGCAAGCGUUGUCCGGAUUUACUGGGUGUAAGGGCGCGCAGGCGGGAUAAAAAGUCAGUGGUGAAAUCCUACAACUUAACUGUAGAACUGCCUUUGAUACUUUUAUUCUUGAGUUCGGGAGAGAGAGACGGAAUUCCAGGUGUAGUGGUGAAAUACGUAGAUAUCUGGAAGAACACCCGUUGCGAAGGCGGUCUCUUGGUCCGACACUGACGCUGAGGCGCGAAAGCGUGGGGAGCAAACA